rnacentral:rRNA from 2 species
AUGUGUAGGAUAGGUGGGAGGCUUUGAAGUGUGGACGCCAGUCUGCAUGGAGCCGACCUUGAAAUACCACCCUUUAAUGUUUGAUGUUCUAACGUGGACCCGUAAUCCGGGUUGCGGACAGUGUCUGGUGGGUAGUUUGACUGGGGCGGUCUCCUCCUAAAGAGUAACGGAGGAGCACGAAGGUUGGCUAAUCCUGGUCGGACAUCAGGAGGUUAGUGCAAUGGCAUAAGCCAGCUUGACUGCGAGCGUGACGGCGCGAGCAGGUGCGAAAGCAGGUCAUAGUGAUCCGGUGGUUCUGAAUGGAAGGGCCAUCGCUCAACGGAUAAAAGGUACUCCGGGGAUAACAGGCUGAUACCGCCCAAGAGUUCAUAUCGACGGCGGUGUUUGGCACCUCGAUGUCGGCUCAUCACAUCCUGGGGCUGAAGUAGGUCCCAAGGGUAUGGCUGUUCGCCAUUUAAAGUGGUACGCGAGCUGGGUUUAGAACGUCGUGAGACAGUUCGGUCCCUAUCUGCCGUGGGCGCUGGAGAACUGAGGGGGGCUGCUCCUAGUACGAGAGGACCGGAGUGGACGCAUCACUGGUGUUCGGGUUGUCAUGCCAAUGGCACUGCCCGGUAGCUAAAUGCGGAAGAGAUAAGUGCUGAAAGCAUCUAAGCACGAAACUUGCCCCGAG